rnacentral:piRNA from 1 species
UGGGAAUUUGAGCAAGAGGUGACUUCUU